GGAUUGCCAAGAGGGGUGUAGGUCCGCUUCCAGGAUCUGAACCUGCAAACCCUGGGCCACUGAAGUGGACCAUGCGGCCUUAACCAUUAUGCCACCAGGCCAGCCCAGAGUCCUGCCAUUUUCUAGAUGGGGAAAGGUGCAGAGUAGUAAGUUGUGAUGCUGCUAAAAGUGCUAGAAUCGGGGUUCAAACCUUAGGCAACCUGUCCCCCAAACCCACCCUCCUACCAUCCCACCCUCCUGUAUCAGUGGUCUUCAGCCACGCUUAAAUAAAGAGUGGUACCAGAUGGAAUAGAGCUGACUGCACUGAUUAAAGCUGUUGAGCAUCAAAAUAUCUGGGUGGACAAGAAGAGAAGAAAUCAGGGUGGAUGUAACAAACAGCCAUAGAAGAGUGUGUCGGUGUCAUUGGUGAAACUGAGAAUGCUAUUCACUAAGCCGCACAACUUUCCUUAUCUCAAGAUUCGCAUGCUUGUUCCUCCUACAGCCGAACGCCAGGAGAGAACGUGUGUCUCCAGACCAGCGCGCGUGCUGUCUUGGGGCAGCUCCACACCCCCGUGGAUGUCAGGAAUUUGGAAAUGAAAUGAACUAUGAUGUUCACUGGCAUGAGCCCAGGCUCUGGGUAAAAUGAGCCUUCCCCUUUUCCUGUUGGUUGCUUUCUUGUUAAAAACAAGAGGUUUCUUAACAUUUUUUUUUUCAAAUUGUUUUAUAGGUUAAUUCUGAUUUUGAAAUAAGUGCAUCUUGAUUGUAAACAAAAAACUCAACAUUUGAUGUACCUCCUUGUAGACUUUUAUAUGUAGAUUUGGGUAUGUAUAGCGUGUAUGUGUGUGAGGUUUUGGAAACAAAAGUUUAGGAAAGUGAGAAUCAUGACAUACUCUUUUGAAACCCACCUUUUUUUUCUCUUAGCCUACCAUAGAUAUUUUAAUAUGUUAAUAAUAACAACAGUAACAAUAGCUUCAUUCAUUCAACAAAAUAUUUGUGAUAUCCAUAAAUAUUUUCUAGGCACUUUCUCUUGGCACUGAGACUAUAGAAAUGGACAAAAUAGACAAGGUCUCCCCCUCACUAGAGCUAUCAGGCCAUAAACUACUAAAUAUAAAAAUAAAUUAAAAUGUUCAUUUCAAAUAGUGCUGUGAAAAAACCAAUGCAACAUGUUGGGGGCAACAUUUGGAAGGGUGGUCAUAAAAGCCUUCUUUGAGGGGGUGACAAUUUGAGCUGAGGCCUGAGUGAUGAGAAUGAACCAGGCUUGGACUAGAUCUAGGCAGAGGAAACAGCACAUGCAAAGGUCCUGAGGUGAGAACAGAGUUUGAUCUGUUUCAGGAACAGCAAGAAGGCUAGCAGGCUGGAGCUGAGUGAGAGAUCAAGGUGCAACUGGAGAGACAGGCGGGAGCCACAUCUUACCAA
rnacentral:lncRNA from 1 species